GCUUAACACAUGCAAGUCGAGGGGCAGCAUGGUCUUAGCUUGCUAAGGCCGAUGGCGACCGGCGCACGGGUGAGUAACACGUAUCCAACCUGCCGUCUACUCUUGGACAGCCUUCUGAAAGGAAGAUUAAUACAAGAUGGCAUCAUGAGUCCGCAUGUUCACAUGAUUAAAGGUAUUCCGGUAGACGAUGGGGAUGCGUUCCAUUAGAUAGUAGGCGGGGUAACGGCCCACCUAGUCUUCGAUGGAUAGGGGUUCUGAGAGGAAGGUCCCCCACAUUGGAACUGAGACACGGUCCAAACUCCUACGGGAGGCAGCAGUGAGGAAUAUUGGUCAAUGGGCGAGAGCCUGAACCAGCCAAGUAGCGUGAAGGAUGACUGCCCUAUGGGUUGUAAACUUCUUUUAUAAAGGAAUAAAGUCGGGUAUGGAUACCCGUUUGCAUGUACUUUAUGAAUAAGGAUCGGCUAACUCCGUGCCAGCAGCCGCGGUAAUACGGAGGAUCCGAGCGUUAUCCGGAUUUAUUGGGUUUAAAGGGAGCGUAGAUGGAUGUUUAAGUCAGUUGUGAAAGUUUGCGGCUCAACCGUAAAAUUGCAGUUGACACUGGAUAUCUUGAGUGCAGUUGAGGCAGGCGGAAUUCGUGGUGUAGCGGUGAAAUGCUUAGAUAUCACGAAGAACUCCGAUUGCGAAGGCAGCCUGCUAAGCUGCAACUGACAUUGAGGCUCGAAAGUGUGGGUAUCAAACAGGAUUAGAUACCCUGGUAGUCCACACGGUAAACGAUGAAUACUCGCUGUUUGCGAUAUACUGCAAGCGGCCAAGCGAAAGCGUUAAGUAUUCCACCUGGGGAGUACGCCGGCAACGGUGAAACUCAAAGGAAUUGACGGGGGCCCGCACAAGCGGAGGAACAUGUGGUUUAAUUCGAUGAUACGCGAGGAACCUUACCCGGGCUUAAAUUGCAGAUGAAUUACGGUGAAAGCCGUAAGCCGCAAGGCAUCUGUGAAGGUGCUGCAUGGUUGUCGUCAGCUCGUGCCGUGAGGUGUCGGCUUAAGUGCCAUAACGAGCGCAACCCUUGUUGUCAGUUACUAACAGGUUCCGCUGAGGACUCUGACAAGACUGCCAUCGUAAGAUGUGAGGAAGGUGGGGAUGACGUCAAAUCAGCACGGCCCUUACGUCCGGGGCUACACACGUGUUACAAUGGGGGGUACAGAGGGCCGCUACCACGCGAGUGGAUGCCAAUCCCCAAAACCUCUCUCAGUUCGGACUGGAGUCUGCAACCCGACUCCACGAAGCUGGAUUCGCUAGUAAUCGCGCAUCAGCCACGGCGCGGUGAAUACGUUCCCGGGCCUUGUACACACCGCCCGUCAAGCCAUGGGAGCCGGGGGUACCUGAAGUGCGUAACCGCGAGGAGCGCCCUAGGGUAAAACUGGUGACUGGGGCUAA
rnacentral:rRNA from 1 species